rnacentral:rRNA from 1 species
UACGGGGGGGGCAAGCGUUGUUCGGAAUUACUGGGCGUAAAGGGCUCGUAGGCGGCCAACUAAGUCGGAUGUGAAAUCCCCAGGCUUAACCUGGGAACUGCAUCCGAUACUGGAUGGCUUGAAUCCGGGAGAGGGAUGCAGAAUUCCAGGUGUAGCGGUGAAAUGCGUAGAUAUCGUAAGGAAGACCAGUGGCGAAGGCGAGUCUCUGGACAGUUACUGACGCUGAGGCACGAAGGCCAGGGGAGCAAACGGG